rnacentral:rRNA from 1 species
AAAGCGUGCGCAGGCGGUUAUACAAGACAGGCGUGAAAUCCCCGGGCUUAACCUGGGAAUGGCGCCUGUGACUGUAUAGCUAGAGUGUGUCAGAGGGGGGUAGAAUUCCACGUGUAGCAGUGAAAUGCGUAGAUAUGUGGAGGAAUACCAAUGGCGAAGGCAGCCCCCUGGGAUAACACUGACGCUCAUGCACGAAAGCGUGGGGAGCAAACAGGAUUAGAUACCCGGGU